AGCAGCCGCGGUAAUUCCAGCUCCAAUAGCGUAUAUUAAAGUUGCUGCAGUUAAAAAGCUCGUAGUUGAAUUUCGGGACCAAUAUGUCGGUCGUGCCUCGGUACGUACUGGCAUCGUUGGUUUCUCCCUUCUGACGAACCAUGAUGUCAUUUAUUUGGUGUUGCGAGGAAUCUGGACUGUUACUUUGAAAAAAUUAGAGUGUUUAAAGCAGGCUAACGCUUGAAUACAUUAGCAUGGAAUAAUGAAAUAGAACGUUCGAUCUUAUUUUGUUGGUUUCUAAGAUUGACGUAAUGAUUAAUAGGGAUAGUUGGGGGCAUUAGUAUUCAAUUGUCAGAGGUGAAAUUCUUGGAUUUAUUGAAGACUAACUACUGCGAAAGCAUUUGCCGAGGAUGUUUUCAUUAAUCAAGAACGAAAGUUAGGGGAUCGAAGACGAUCAGAUACCGUCGUAGUCUUAACCAUAAACUAUGCCGACUAGGGAUCGGAUGAUGUAAUUUUUUAAUGACUCA
rnacentral:rRNA from 1 species